GCGCCCGUAGCUUAAUUGGAUAAAGCGUCUGGCUUCGGACCAGGAGACUGAGAGUUCAAGUCUUUCCGGGCGUGCCA
rnacentral:tRNA from 1 species